rnacentral:rRNA from 1 species
UGAGGAAUAUUGGUCAAUGGGUGCAAACCUGAACCAGCCAUGCCGCGUGAGGGAUGACGGCUCUCGUAGUUGUAAACCUCUUUUGUAUGGGAAAAACCCAUGGGUCGUGUACCCGUGCUGAUUGUACCAUGCGAAUAAGCAUCGGCUAACUCCGUGCCAGCAGCCGCGGUAAUACGGGGGAUGCAAGCGUUAUCCGGAUUUAUUAGGUUUAAAGGGUGUGUGGGCGGGAUGAUAAGUCAGUGGUGAAAUCUCUCGGCUCAACUGAGAAACUGCCAUUGAUACUGUCGUUCUUGAAUAUAGUUGAGGUAGGCGGAAUGUGUAAUGUAGCGGUGAAAUGCUUAGAUAUUACACAGAACACCGAUUGCGGAGGCAGCUUACUAAACUAUGAUUGACGCUGAGACACGAAAGCGUGGGGAGCGAACAGG